GAUGGUGGAGGAGGAGGGUAAGCUGAAGGUACCGGAGGGUAAGCCGAGGUUGACGGAGGAGGAGGAUACGCAGAUGGCUGAGGAGGAUAGGCUGAAGCUGGUGGGUAUCCUGAUGGCUGUGGGUAUUGUUGUACUUGUGGGUAUAGAGAUGGUCCAGUGUAUGGUGCUGAUGAGUACGGAGAUGCAGAAGGAGGUGCUGAUGAAUACGGAGAUGCAGAAGGGGGUGCUGAGUAUUGAGGCACUUGAGGCGCAUAUGGAGCUGAUGGAGCAGCCGCAUAAUUAUGUUUCUGCAUACAAGAAUGGAUUGUAUGUUUAGACUUUUGUUUAUAAUGUAACAUGUAAAACAAUGUUGUUUAACUGAGUCUCAGACUUUACCUUU
rnacentral:lncRNA from 1 species